GCUUGCUUCAGCAACAUAUAUAUGCUAAAAUUGAAAUAAUACAGAGAAGAUUAGCCUGGCACCUGUGCAAAGAUGACCUUUUCUCAUCUGAACUGACCCCUGUUCAA